UUUAAUUGGAUUCAACGCCGGAAAUCUUACCGGGACCGACAGCAACAUGAAGGCCAAGCUGAAGACUUUGCCGGAUUAGCUGAGAGGUGGUGCAUGGCCGUCGUCAGUUCGUACUGUGAAGCAUCCUGUUAAGUCAGGCAACGAGCGAGACCCACGCCCACAGUUGCCAGCGUACUCUCCGGAGUGACGGGUACAUUGUGGGGAAGAUGUUGGGUAAGGGGGGGGGGGGGGGGGCGGAAAUUUCUAACCAGUGGGUCUAAGUGUA
rnacentral:ncRNA from 1 species